CCAGGCAAGUCUCCUAGAGGAUGAAAGAGCAGACGGAGAGAGGACCCAGCCACCCCAGCCCAAACCACCCUCUUCAGAUGUGUACUGUAUCCUGGGAUCCUCUAAAAGGAAGGAAAAUCCAGGAGAAGAAGGAUGCUCUGACUACAACUCUCUCUUCAAAGUUCGGUGGAACUGCAACCAGGGUCCAGAUGGAUGAUUAAGGCCUAAACCCCAAACUUGCCUUGGAUCAUACUACUGUUUCAGCUCAAGCUACACAUCCUUUGAAGAUUGACAGGGGUUUUGCUCCAUAGAUCAUCAGAGACUCAAGCUGAUAUUGGCUCCACUAUCUUGUGACAUUGCCAUCUCAGCACAUGGCUCCAAAGGCACCACAGUAAAGGCACAGUGUGGAGGACUCAACUAAAUCCUAUUCACGGCCCAGUGGCCAGAACCAGUCCCACGGCCCCAACCUAACAGCCAGGAGCUACCAAGGAGAGGAGUACCAGAUAUGGUGAUUCUUGUAAUCUCUACCACACUAUAUCUUUGGAUUUGUGUAGAUUGUGUCAAUGUUACCAUCAAUUUAGAAAUAUGAUUCAUAGAAUUUUUAUUAAAAAGGUAUGAUGGGGGGCUGGCCCAGUGUUGUAGUGGUUAAGUUCGUGCGCUCUGCUUCAGUGGCCCGGGUUUGCAGGUUCGGAUCCCGGGCACGGACAUAUGCACAUGCUUAUCAAGCCAUGCUGUGGCAGGCGUCCCACAUAUAAAAUAGAGGGAGAUGGGCACACCUGUUAGCU